rnacentral:rRNA from 1 species
AGUGAACGCUGGCGGUAGGCCUAACACAUGCGAGUCGAACGGCAGCACAGUAAGAGCUUGCUCUUACGGGUGGCGAGUGGCGGACGGGUGAGGAAUACAUCGGAAUCUACUUUUUCGUGGGGGAUAACGCAGGGAAACUUACGCUAAUACCGCAUACGACCUACGGGUGAAAGCAGGGGAUCUUCGGACCUUGCGCGAUUGAAUGAGCCGAUGUCGGAUUAGCUAGUUGGCGGGGUAAAGGCCCACCAAGGCGACGAUCCGUAGCUGGUCUGAGAGGAUGAUCAGCCACACUGGAACUGAGACACGGUCCAGACUCCUACGGGAGGCAGCAGUGGGGAAUAUUGGGCAAUGGGCGCAAGCCUGAUCCAGCCAUACCGCGUGGGUGAAGAAGGCCUUCGGGUUGUAAAGCCCUUUUGUUGGGAAAGAAAAGCAGCAGGUUAAUACCCCGCUGUUCUGACGGUACCCAAAGAAUAAGCACCGGCUAACUUCGUG